GAUUUAGUUCUCUCACCACCGCCGCCUGAGUUCGUGUUUGGUCAAGUGUUGUUCAAUUUUGAAAAUGCUGUGGGUUGACUGACUUCCUUUCUUUUUAUUGCAGCACCUCCACCCGGAGUCGAAAGAAGAGCUUUUAUCUUGAAGGGGCAGCAGCGGUGAUCUGUCGCCUUAAAUAUUUGUGGCGCAAGAGAUCCGAGGCGUUAUAUUUCUUUUUCCUUCACGCGGUGUGGUUGUAGGCUCGAUCGGUUUUCGUAAAUCUUCCUGAAUUUGGACCGAAUAUUGUGAAUCCUCGACACGGGACGCCCCUGAUCACGACUUUCAUGGACUAAAACAUAAUUCGUGCAAUCUUCGUGUCCGGUUGGAGUCGUCUAGUGCACAUUGAAGCUUCUCGGCAUAGCUUAGCUUACCUUGCUAACAAAAAGACCUGCUUGAGAUCAAAAGUUUUCUCAGCAGAAAUUAAGGCUGAAGUAAAGUCUUUCUUUCCGCCACCGACUGUAAUCUAAUACAGCAAUGGAUAGGUUUCCGAAGAUGUCACCACAGCCCCAGGAGUCCCUUGUCUGCCAUUUUGUGUGUCUGAAGCAAGGGAAGCAAGUGCCUUUCGUCUGAUAAUAUGGGCCACACAUACGUAGUUUGGGGCUGUAUUAGCCACGCUGAAUCUGGGCAAACAAAGAGGUAGUAUUUUUAUAUUCCAAAGGUCGUUGUCAACCAGGGAAGUAAAACUAAGCAACUGUCGACAAAAAGAUGGAACCUAGUAAGGUUGUCGAGGAUCAACUGAGCAGGAUUUCCGCUAUAAAGUUUGCUCGGAUUUCCUUCAUGAUUUCUGUCACAUAGAGUAAAAGGUCAAGGGCAGAAUACUGUGCCUUUGUUACACUAUCCUGAGUCCCAUGAUGUGUGUAUGCCAGGUAGCCUAACAGUCAGUCUGGGCUUUAUGUGCUGCCGGUCCCGUCUUCAAUAAAUGCAGUUAAAAACAUAA